GUUUUAGCAAUUUUUCAGUUUUCUAUUUUAGCUGCAAUAGCAUCAGAUGUUGAAUUUGUUGCCUGCUUCAUAUUUCCUUGCUCUUUCCACCUACUUACUCAUCAGUGUUCCUCCCCAUAUCUGACUGGAGCCAGCAGGAAACAGAUAUUACACUGAAAUUAGGAUGAUUUGAGGGUGGUUUAAUAAACAGACUAUUUGCAAAGGCAUCAGUGGGGCCAGGGAACCCCAGGGAAUAGUGAGUGGAUCACCUGGUGCUAGUAAGGGGACUGCAGUGGGAAAAGGGUGCGGCUCCUCAAAUCAUAAUGGAACCAGUGUGAGGAGGGAGGGAGCUUUGGUGAGAGGAUCUGUGACCAUUGCAUGGUGAGGGAAGCAACCAGCCAGAAGUGUCCUCAUAGGGAGAGACUGAAGCACCAAAUAUUCCCACUUUCCUCUCUUCCUUCCCACCAAUCCCUUGCCAGGACUUCCAUUGGGUGAUCCCAAGGGCAACCAAAGGUGAGGGAGCCCAUUGGUGCAGUCACUACAGGUCAGCCUUAGCUGGGUGAGUAGACGGUAGUAAAGCUUCCUGACCUGCUACAGGAAAUGAAAGUUCCAUUCACAGAAGCAUCGAAGGAAUUGAAGGCUAGAUCUUUAACCUCCUGCAGAUCUUCCACUUUCCUCAUUUCCCUGUCAUGGAAAUACAGGGCACUUUCCUCCACAGCGCUAAUGCCUUCAGCUCCCCAUGAUCCUCACUGCACAGCUCCGGCUCAGAUGCUGCAAGAGCAGAAAAGCAAUUGGCCAAGAUGCAAGUGUUGCCAGGAAGUGUGUGAAAGUUUGCCAGUAGAAGACAAUGUGAACAAAUGGUGUGUCAUGGAAUUUUAGAGGAAGGAGGAGGAACACCAGAGCAUCUAAUCUAGUGACUUUCAACCUUUUAGGCCCAAGAGGACUUUUACAACAAAUCUUUUGUAGCACCUCUGUCCUAUCCUAGAAUAAGAUUCAUAGACAAGUAAUUUAUAUAUGUGUACAACUAAAAAUGUCCUAACUAGUGGGAAAUAAAAUGAGAGUGAUUGACGAGGAUACA
rnacentral:lncRNA from 1 species